CAUAUCAGUCGGCGGAGGAAGAGAAACUAACCAGGAUUCCCCUAGUAGCGGCGAGCGAAGCGGGAAUAGCCCAACUUGAAAAUCUGUGACCUUCGGUCACCGAAUUGUAGUCUAUAGAAGCGUGCCCUGCAGCAGAUCAUGCCCAAGUGCUCUGGAAGGGGCCGUCAGAGAGGGUGAGAGCCCCGUCGGCGUGUAAUCUGACUGCUCCACGGGCCGUUUUCGCAGAGUCGGGUUGCUUGGGAAUGCAGCCCAAAGUAGGU
rnacentral:rRNA from 1 species